AGGUUGAUCCUGGCUCAGGAUGAACGCUGGCGGCGUGCCUAAUACUUGCCAGUCAAGCGAACAGACGAGGAGCUUGCUCCUCUGACGUUAGCGGCGCGACGGGUGAGUAACACGUAGGUAUAACCUACCUAUAAUACUGGGAUAACUUCGGGAACCCGGAGCUAAUACCGGAUAAUAUAUUGGACCGCAUGGUUCAAUAGGGAAAGACGGUUUUGCUGUCACUUAUAGAUGGAUCCGCGCCGCAUUAGCUAGUUGGUAAGGGAGCGGCUUACCAUGGCAACGAUGCGUAUCCGACCUGAGAGGGUGAUCGGCCACUCUGGAACUGAGACACGGCCCAAACUCCUACGGGAGGCAGCAGUUAGGGUAUCUUUCACAAUGGGCGAAAGCCUGACGGAGCAACGCCGCGUGAGUGAUGAAGGUUUUCGGAUCGUAAAACUCUGUUAUUAGGGAAGAACAAAUGUGUAAGUAACUAUGCACGUCUUGACGGUACCUAAUCAGAAAGCCACGGCUAACUACGUGCCAGCAGCCGCGGUAAUACGUAGGUGGCAAGCGUUAUCCGGAAUUAUUGGGCGUAAAGCGCGCGUAGGCGGUUUUUUAAGUCUGAUGUGAAAGCCCACGGCUCAACCGUGGAGGGUCAUUGGAAACUGGAAAACUUGAGUGCAGAAGAGGAAAGUGGAAUUCCAUGUGUAGCGGUGAAAUGCGCAGAGAUAUGGAGGAACACCAGUGGCGAAGGCGACUUUCUGGUCUGUAACUGACGCUGAUGUGCGAAAGCGUGGGGAUCAAACAGGAUUAGAUACCCUGGUAGUCCACGCCGUAAACGAU
rnacentral:rRNA from 1 species